rnacentral:rRNA from 1 species
ACGCUCGACACCUACAGGAGGCAGCAGUGGGGAAUAUUGCACAAUGGGGGAAACCCUGAUGCAGCGACGCCGCGUGAAGGAAGAAGUAUCUCGGUAUGUAAACUUCUAUCAGCAGGGAAGAAAAUGACGGUACCUGACUAAGAAGCCCCGGCUAACUACGUGCCAACAGCCGCGGUAACUGAGCGGGCUGGCAAGGC